ensembl:lncRNA
AGCUUAUCAACUCUCCACAGUGCAGUUCCUGCCUAAUCGAUAGCUUGCCAUCAUGCCUGGGCAUGCCUGGACAGAGCAAGGACUUUGGAUAACCUGUUGACCCAACUAAAAUCCAAAGCCAAACAAAACUAAAGCACUGACACCUGACAAGAUCUGACUGUAAAGUCAGAGGGACUGCAGAAGCAGGAGGGUGAGUCGCUCUCAGUUUUCCUCCUGUGUGCUAAUAAGUAAUGGUCUCCAGUUAAUGCUGCUUUUCUUUUUAGAUGUUGUGGGAGGUACAGUAAGCAUGGAGAUAGUGAAAAUGUUUUUAUCGUAAUGAUAUCCCCACGAGAAACCUAAGGGUUUCUACCGAGUUCUCACAUUUCUUCCCAUCUCCCAGAAAUAUGCAUGUGCAUGAAUUGGCUACAGUAAACUGUUUAUAGGUGUGGAUAUGUGUGGAUGUGGCAUCCCAUCCUGGGUGUUUCCUGAAGAUGAAUGAAUGAAUCCAGUGAGCAAUCCAAAAUUACCUUCAUGGAAAGAAGAAACAAUUUUAGCCUGAAUCUGUAUUGGAACUUCAGGCGACAUUAUUGAAUAGAAAUCAAGACACAACAGUCCCUAGAGUUUACACAGGAUGGUGCAGAAAAAUCCUUUUGCGAGCGGCAGUUCUGCGGGGUGGAAACACCUUGUUGAUGAGAGAGGUCAGAGGAGAAUGCCCAGACUCGUUCGAGCUGUCAGGAAGGCUACGGUAACUUAAAUAACCACUCUUUACAAACCUGGUGAGUAGAAAAGCAUCUCAGAUCACACGUCGAAUCUUAAGCUGAAUCGGCUACAUUAGGUUCCUCUCCUGUCAGCCAAACACAGGAAUCUACAGUGAACAAAAACAAAAUUGAACACAUGAUCUUCUUCUUUACAGUUGGAAAAUAAGUGUUUAGGAAUAUAAAAUUAGCUCUUUUCUGCUAAGACAAUAAGAAAUUAUUGUAGAUGAUUUAAACAUCUAUGACCAGAUUUUUUAUUUAACAAAAUAUAGUGUGCCUAAGACCUUUGCACAACACUAUAGGAAAUACUAAAUCAGAAUUCAUGGUUCUACUGAUGAAGGUGUUGCUCAGUGUAGUUAUACUUGGCUUUCAGAGCUUGUUCUGAGUUGAAUUAAAUGUUUGCUUUGUCAAUGAGAAAAUAGUUAAUUCUCUCCACAAUGACUGCAAUGAUACAAUGAGUUAAUACAAUACCUAAUUCCAUCCAUCCAUCCAUCCAUCUUCUAUCCUUUUCGGUGUCAUGGGGAACCUGGAGCUUAUCCCAGGGAGCAUCGGGCACAAGGCGGGGUACACCCUGGACAGGGUGACAAUCCAUCGC